GACGAACGCUGGCGGCGUGCUUAAUACAUGCAAGUCGAACGGAAAGGCCCUGCUCUUGUGGGGUGCUCGAGUGCCGAACGGGUGUGUAACACGUGAGUAACCUGUCCUUGUCUUUCGGAUAUCUUCAGGAAACUGGGGCUCAUACCCGAUAGGAGCUCCUGCUGCAUGGUGGGGGUUGGAAAGUGUCGGUUGUUGGGGAUGGACUCGCGGCUUAUCAGCUUGUUGGUGGGGUAGUGGCUUACCAAGGCUUUGACGGGUAGCCGGCCUGAGAGGGUGACCGGCCACAUUGGGACUGAGAUACGGACCAGACGCCUACGGGAGGCAGCAGGGGGGAGUAUUGCACAAUAGGGGGGAGCCUGAUGCAGCAACGCCGCGUGCGGGAUGACGGCCUUCGGGUGGUAAACCGCUUUCGCCUGUGACGAAGCGUGAGUGACGGUAAUGGAUAAAGAAGCACCGGCUAACUACGUG
rnacentral:rRNA from 1 species